AUUGAACGCUGGCGGCAGGCCUAACACAUGCCAGUCGAGCGGAUGAAGGGAGCUUGCUCCUGGAUUCAGCGGCGGACGGGUGAGUAAUGCCUAGGAAUCUGCCUGGUAGUGGGGGAUAACGUCCGGAAACGGGCGCUAAUACCGCAUACGUCCUGAGGGAGAAAGUGGGGGAUCUUCGGACCUCACGCUAUCAGAUGAGCCUAGGUCGGAUUAGCUAGUUGGUGGGGUAAAGGCCUACCAAGGCGACGAUCCGUAACUGGUCUGAGAGGAUGAUCAGUCACACUGGAACUGAGACACGGUCCAGACUCCUACGGGAGGCAGCAGUGGGGAAUAUUGGACAAUGGGCGAAAGCCUGAUCCAGCCAUGCCGCGUGCGUGAAGAAGGUCUUCGGAUUGUAAAGCACUUUAAGUUGGGAGGAAGGGCAGUAAGUUAAUACCUUGCUGUUUUGACGUUACCAACAGAAUAAGCACCGGCUAACUUCGUG
rnacentral:rRNA from 1 species